CAGUAGCCACGGUAAUACGAAGGGGGCUAGCGUUGCUCGGAAUUACUGGGCGUAAAGGGAGCGUAGGCGGACAUUUAAGUCAGGGGUGAAAUCCCAGAGCUCAACUCUGGAACUGCCUUUGAUACUGGGUGUCUUGAGUGUGAUAGAGGUAUGUGGAACUCCGAGUGUAGAGGUGAAAUUCGUAGAUAUUCGGAAGAACACCAGUGGCGAAGGCGACAUACUGGAUCAUUACUGACGCUGAGGCUCGAAAGCGUGGGGAGCAAACAGGAUUAGAUACCCGUGUAGUCCCUGUCUCUUAUAC
rnacentral:rRNA from 1 species